CUGUACUGAUUCUCUCGGCCCUCGGGCUGCUCGGGGACCCAGGCGUAACUGUCGGCUGCGUUCUGCGGCUUCUUUUCUUUCAUCUCGCGCUUGGCUCUCCGCUUGCGACAGACCAGGAGCCCCAAGGCCAGUGCCAGCAGGAGGGAGAUGGCCACCACCGUGCCCAGGAUGUAGAACAGCAGCAGCCUUUGCCCGUCCUCACCAUCCUCACUUGGAGCAGCCACAGAGACCUUACCCAUUGGCUUGCUAUGGCCAGCAGCAGCUUUGGACAAGGGGGUGCCCUGCUCUGUCCCAAGGCCAGGGCUCCCACUGGGAGAUGACACUUUAGCGUGGGCAGAGGUGGUAGGGACAUCAGAGGUCAAGGAGGACCUUCCUGUGGAGAGUGUACCCGUGGAGAAACUCUCGGAGCCCCUGGUGGGACCGAGCAUGGAGGGAGACAUGGUGGCGGGAGACAUGGUGCCCCACUUCCUAUCUUGCUCAUCCUCUGGCAGAACCCCAGCCAAGGACACUGUGGACGCAUGGUCUGGGACACAGGAGAGCCCAUCGGGGGCCAGCUUCAAGCCUACCAGGCAGCCACAGUGGAAGGAGCCCUGCACGUUGGAGCACAGGCCUGGGCAGGGGCUGCCCGUGGGGUCAGCGCACUCGUCCUUGUCCUCACACUGGGUGGCGUCCUCCCCUGACAGGACAUAGCCGGCUGGCAGGAGCAGUGGAAGGAGCCGGCGGUGUUAGUGCAGUCUUGGGCACAGGGCGCAAGGUUGAGAGCACACCGUCCCACAUCCACACAGGCCUCCUCCCCAGGGCCACCAGCUGUGUAGCCCGGCCAGCACUCACAGUGGAAGCCCCCAGCUGUAUUGACACAGCCUUGGGCACAAGGUGUGUCGUGGCACUCGUCCACAUCUACACAGCCCUGCUGUCUUGCAUCCAGCUGGUAGCCACGGGGGCAGAGGCAUGUGUAGGUGUCCUCGUGGGGCCUGGAGACGCAGGUGGCCUCCCCCUUGCAGGGGCUAGAGCUGCACGGGUUCCUCAAGCGCAGGGACACCAGGUCGUCCCGCAGCCGGGAAGCCAGGCCGGCAGCCACAGCGGAAAGAGCCAGAACCCCCCCUCGAAGCAGUCCUGCUCACAGCCCCCAUUGUUGAAGGUGCACCCCAACUCAGGGUUGACACACAGGGGCCCGGUAAUGCCCCAGUCAAACACCUCUAUCAUCUUCUCCCUGCACAGCAGUUCAUAGCCCUGAUUCUCAGCCCCAGCUUCGCAGGCCACGCUGGCCAAAGAACCAAAGGGCACAGCAUCCAGUGAGGAGGUGGUGGCCCUGAAAGGGGUGCUGUAGUUCACCUGGCCUGGGCCACCCAGGGCCAGGGGCCGGCACAUGCCUUUGAAGCUGAACUUGCACACAAACCCCUCGGUGUUGCCUCCUGGGUUGCCUGAUGAUCCGCAGGGGCCUUCAAACCAUUUGGGGAGGCGGUCUGGGUGGGGGUUCUGGGACAGGUCCAGUGGCAGAGCCACACAGCGCUUGGAGACGCAGGAGCUCUUGAGCUCUUCUUUGUGCCAAUUUGCAUACUCUGUGUCCUCCCGCCACCCACCCAGCUGAAGCCUUUCAGUGGCAGCUCAGGGUCCAAGCACUUGCCCUUCUCCCGCUGGAGCCCCACCCAGAACUUGCCCAUCCUCGCUGCCAGGGGCGCCCUCGGCUUCAGGAGCUGGGCCAAGGCGUGCUGAAUGAGUCGGGCCUCCUCCUUGGUCUUUACCGUGGCCAGGUUUCCCCGUUCUGGCUACAGACGCCCUGGGCUUCAGCCGCGCUCAGCUUGCCCCAGUGGGCCGUGUAGCAGGCAGUCCCUCCACACACCACAGCCUCCGCUGCGUCAGCCUCUGUGGUGUGGGCAGCAGCCCCCACCCAGGGCUGGCCCAGGAGCAGCAGCAGAAGCAGGUCCCUGGGGCUGGCCAUUCUGCCUCUAAGUCCCCCUCUCAGGAGGCCAGAAACCCCUCAGUGACUGCAGUGACAACAGGAGCCUGCACUCCAGCUCCCAGCUGUGCUCCCAGGGGCACUGAGUGCCGAGCCCCAGGAGCUCUGACACGGAGACUGCUGCCGCUCUUGUCCCCCUGACCCAAGGCACAUCCUGUGCCUCCUACUUCUUGUUUCUCACCGGAU
ensembl:lncRNA